CACAAGGUAUGUUUGGGUGAAUGGUGUAGUGAAAAUAUGGUAGAGGAUGGUGACUAAAUGGUGCAGCAAAGGGUGGUAUUUAUAGGCUGAAAUUCGCAGCCCCUAUGUAGCAAAGGAAAAGGAUUUAAAAGCCUAAUUUGUAUAGGAUAAUAACACACAAUCCUUGAAGGAAAAGGCUAAGGCUUUUAGAAACCAAAGGGGAAAGGAAUAAUCAGGUUUCUAGGAGUCCUAGAAAGGUUUGGGGCGUCACUUUUGUAGGAGAAGGGAUAAGGCCUUCUAGAAAGGUUAUUUUGUGGCUGAUUUCUAGAAAAACAAGGGAUAAGGUGUGGCACCUUUGUAGGAAAGGAUUAGGUCUUCUAGAAAUCCCAUUUUAAGCAUCCUAAUCUAGUUAGAAACCCUCCUAAGUGGCUGGAAUGUGGAUAAUUUAGGAUUAGGAUAAGAUAAGAUAGGAUAAGGUUUGUUUGGAUAAGAUAAGCUAAGAUAAGGUUAUGGAUGAGGUUUUGGAUAAGAUCCUUCUCUUGAGUUGAUUCUUUGGCUUUAAUUCUUCUUCUUCAUGUAGGAAUACUUGCUUGAGUAGGAAACUUCAUUCGUCUAGGAAUCCAUCUUCAAUUAGGACUCCUACAUUGAUUAGGAAUCCUUCUUCAUUUAGGAAUCCUUCGUUUAAGCCCUUUCCUACUUCAACUAGGAAACUUUGUAUAUUCAAUUCUUCAACUUUGAAACACCUUCCUAGCUUCAUCAAUUCCUCAAAUUCGUCCAUCCCUUGUGCUUCAUGUGCAUGAACUCCAUUCUAGCCCAAUUUUGCUCCAAAAUGCUCCAAAUUGCAUCCUUUUGCUCACUUUGUCUCUAAAACCUGAAAACACAUGAAAAUAGCUUAAAAGACUAAUUUAACCAAGAAAACACAACAUAAAUGCAUAAGAACUAACUAACUAAGGCGCAUAAAUAUGCUCCUAUCAAAUUCCCCCACACUUAGCUUUUGCUAGUCCUCGAGCAAAACAAAACGAGUAAACACAACCUAAACCUUCCAACAAUCGCCUCAGGGAUUUCCAAUGCACAUGACAUGUUAAAAAUCAUCAUUCCCACAGAUUUUAGCCAUCUUUACGCUUAAGCACAUACUUAAUCAUAGUCACUACUUAUUAGUUCACAAAUAACCAAUUAAAACGAUGUUUUGAAUGUAGUAACAUGCCUUAGAGAAUUUGCUCAAUUCCUUACUAGAUAUGCACUCAAUUUUCACACAGAAUUUCUGACUACACACCCUAUACUGGUUAUAUGUGAGAAGAUUGAUGUAAAUAUGAAAACGAAUGCUCACAUAUAUGUAUGACAAAGGAAGCACUUUCCGGAGUUAACAACAUGUUUAAAUAUGAUCUCAUGAAUGGAAUGCUACUACUUAGAUGCGAGAUCCAGGGAUAUCAUAUGCUCAUACCAAUUCCAAACUCCACAUAUUGAAACACAUAACAAUCAAGAUGGAAGCAAAGGGUUGUAACGGGGCUAAGGUAUUGGCUAACAAAGAAAGGUAAGGAUAAACAAACAUUCUUAAAGAAUAAUAAGCAAAGUAAUGAAAUUGAUACUUAGAAAUCACUUUUGCAUGCAAAAAAAAAAACGAUUUUGAAACACAAGGGGAAGACUCAUGCAACACUUAGGGCCAAAUUCAAGCUUUUUGGACCCUUUCUUCAACAACCAACCCACUUAGAGCUUAUUUUCUCAUCUUUUUCAACUCUUUCUCAUACUUUUCACAUUGUUUUCUUCAUUUUUUCUUUUUCUACGAAUUUGUCUCUUUUCUUUUUCUAACCCGUGCCCUUCUACUUCUUUUGGCACACAAAAUUUUCCUUCCCCCACACUUAGUUUUCUGCACAAUGUUGAUCAAAAGGAAUUCCCUCUAAGUCAUGCUUUAUUAUCCUUUAAGAACACGGGUAUGGAUAGUCCUAAUCUAGGCUAGGUAAGGAUAAUGUGGCUAACAACAAAAUAGGCUAAAUAAGGUUCAAAGGGGCUAAUCCUACAAAAACAAAUGCAUGGGUUGAAGGCUUUUUGGCUCUGGUGAUAACUACUAAGCAACUUCAUCUUGUUAGUUAUGCUAAUCAAUUUUUAUGCUUUGAAUGAAAUAGGUAUGAGUUCUAAUAUUUGGAUCUAUAAUGAUGACACGCCUUCUAAGUAGCAACCAAGCAAAGAAUGAUGAGAUCAUGCAACGACUUUAGAAAACAACAAAUUCACAGAUUAUUAACUCUCCAAAUAAACGUUUAGGCUCAAGUCUCACAGGGUUGUAGCGUUUGUUUGAGUUCCUUCCUUCAAGCAUGUUACAAAAACUGAUUUUUUUCUUUAUGAUUACAUGUGAAGUCAUAAGUUAUAACCACAACCAAGCAUAAACCAAAGAGUAAAUCAAACUUUCAUCCAUGUUUAUAACUCUCUUUAACAAUCAUGCAAUUACAAACCGAAUCCUCAUCAUUGUGUUGGAAGGUACCCUAAGACACAAACAAACACACAAAAACAACUUUAAACCGACUCUUUUUGGGUUUUUUCAAAACUUUUUCUAGUUUUUUGUCUAAAAACACUUAAAAACAAUGAAAAACAACCUUUGAAAUGUUAGGUGGUAAAAUCCUACGAAUUUGACACAAAAACACUUUGUUUACCCUCCCACACUUAAACCAAACAUUGUCCUCAAUGUUUCAAACAUAGACUCACACAAGAACAAGCAAAUAUCACAACUAGCAAACAUGACAAAUAUGGCAAAGUAAAAGCAAUAAAGAGUAGGGUUUAGAAACGCAAAUCUGAUUAUGACGCCGGAGCUUCCUAGGUCCUCUUUAUUUGCAUGGGUUGCCUCCCAAGAAGCGCUUGCUUUAACGUCUUCCAGCCGGACGAUGCUCCAUUGAAGGUUUAUGGAACCCCACAGCAUGGAGGGGUGUUUCCACAACCUGACCUACGAAAUACUUCAUUCUUUGGGUCCUUGAAUGGGAUGGGAUAAUGAUCCUUUCUAUUUGUCAUGUUUUGCUUCUCUAAAUCAACACGAACUCUCCCACUACGUUGUCUUCGAUUUGGUACCUGCACCAUACAAGGUAACAACCUAUUAGUUGAAAUGGGAAUCGAAAAUUGAAUAGGUGGCUUACCUUUGUACGGCAAAGAAGUGGUAGCACUAUGGACAAAUGCACAAGGGUUGCACUUGGGCAGAUUUGAUGAUUUCAAGGUUGGGGCCGUGCACUCUUUGUUGUUCACUCCGAUUCCUUCCUCGAUGGUGGGUUGUGGUACAUUCUUGUUGACUAGUGUUGAACAUUCCUGCCCUAUAUUAUCAAUUACAUUAAUAGCACAACAAGAACGAACAUCAUUAGUAUUCUCAACCGAUUCAGAAACCUUAAAGUUAAUCAUAUCACCACCAAAGGCCAUAGUUACUGCUCCCUUGGCCACGUCAAUCUUGGUUUGAGCUGUUUUCAUGAAAGGACGUCCAAGUAAGAGUGGUGAUGAUGGAGAUUGUACCGAAUCUUCCAUGUCAAGCACAUAAAAAUCUGCAGGAAAAAUCAAAUGGUCUACCUGCACUAAAACAUCCUCCAAAACUCCUUUCGGAUAUGCAUUAGAUCGAUCGGCUAAUUGAAUAAUAACACCAUCAUGUUUAAGCUCCCCUAGAUUCAUCGAUGCAUAAACAGAAUAUGGCAUGACAUUGAUUGAUGCACCUAAAUCUAGCAUAGCAUGAUCAAACCUCGCAUUGCCAAUAACACAAGGGAUAGUGAAACUACCUGGAUCUUUGCAUUUAGGUGGUAACUUUCUUUGCAACAAUGCAGAUACAUUCUCACUUACGUGUACCACCUCUUUCUCCCGAAUCCGAUUCCUUGUUGUGCAAAGCUUCUUCAAGAACUUAGCAUAUUUCGGGAUUUGCUUUAUUGCAUCGAGGAGUGGGAUGUUGACAUGCACCUUCCUAAACGUCUCCAGAAUGUCUUUUUCCUCCUCGUCGUUCUGGCUUGCAUCAACCUGCUAGGAAAGGGCACGUUUAGUGGAAUAGAACUUGAUUGGGUCGAAUUAUGACUUACCUUAGGUGUAGGACACGGCAAAGGUGCAAUAGGAGGCUGCGGCAUUGUUUUCUCCUUCCUUGCCGUGGUUGAGGUUUGGGGUUCUUCCUCAAACAGUAGCUUUUCAUCCUCUUUUUGACUUGAAUUGGAUGCUUGGGGUUCGGUUCCAACUUGUUUGCCACUCCUUAAUGUAAUUGCUUUGGCGGUUUCGAAUCCCCCUUUUGGAUUUGCAACGGUUGAACUAGGGAGUCUUCCUUGGUCUCGAAACUGUCCUACAAACUCCGCAAUUUGCCCAAUUUGUUUUUCCAAGUGAUCCACCCUUUUAGCUUGGCUUUGCAAUGCUGCGGCUUGAUUCUCUUGCCCCUGAGACAAAGUGUUAAGUAAUUUAAGAAUUGCAUCAUUAUCCAAGGACGUACCUGAAUUUGUUGGGGCAGAAUGUAUUUGAGUUUGAUUUGGUGCGAAUGGCUUUUGAUAGAAACCCGGGGGUUGUUGCCGAAAUGUGUUUUGUUGUUGGCCUUGUUGGGGUUCCCGCCAUUUGAAAUUCGGAUGAUCACGCCAACCGGGAUUGUAGUUGUUAGAAAAGGGAUCAUUCCUUUGUUGGUAUUGCUGCCCAAAGCCCACGGCAUUGAGGGUCUCCCACCCUCCGUUCUCGAUCAAUUGUGGGCAUGUGUCCGUAGGGUGUCCUUGCAUGGAACAUACGCCACACGCACUUACAUUUUGAACUUUUGGCCCUUCCACAACCUGAGAAAGCAAAGUAGUAAGGUUAGCCAUUUGGUUUUGAAGUUCGGUUAUGGCACUUACCUCGUUCACUUGGUGUUGCCGUGGGGUGCCUCUUUGGCCAACACCUUCGUAUUGUUGAGCGUUCAACGCUCGAUUAGCAAUCAAAGUCUUUGCUGCCGUGGGAGUCUUGUCCACCAAAGCUCCUCCCGCCGAGGCAUCUAGCAUUUGUCUUUCGAUUGGUAGAAGUCCCUCGUAGAAGUAUUGUAGAAGAAGCUCCUCCUUCAUUUGAUGCUGUGGACAAGAAGCAACAAGAGAUUUAAAACGUUCAUAAUAUGUAGGAAAAGACUCACCUUCUUCUUGUUGAAUUCCACUUAUCCUUUUUCGUAGGAGGAUGACUCGAGAAGUUGGGAAAAACUUCUCCAAGAAAGCUCGUUUCAUGCUCUCCCAAGAUGUGACCGUUCCGGGAGCUAAUUCGUACAACCAAUCUUUCGCCUUUUCCAUGAGAGAAAAGGGAAAGGCCUUCAUCUUCAAUAUACUCCCGUCGACAUUGAUUGGAGUCAUGCUUGAACACACCACCUCGAACUCUUUCAAGUGCUUGUUAGGAUCCUCCAUGGACAACCCAUGGUACUUCGGAAUAUGGUGUAGCAAACUUGACUUUAACUCGAAUUCCUCGGUCUUUCCUUGGGCAGCCGCCGGAUAUUGAAUACAUAGAGGUGCGGCAUUGUCUAAUCCCGAAGCCGAGAGCUCCUUGAUUGUACGAUUGUCUUGUGCCAUGACUGUCUCAACUUCACCCACUUGUGCCGUGGGUUCCUCUUCCUCAAUCUCAACUUCGGCUUCCGAAUUUGAACUUGAUUCACUAGGUUCUGGAUUCUUCCUCUUUCGUCUCAACUCUCGUUCAAAAUCGUCGUCAAAGUCCAAGAUGUGUUCAUGAACCGGAUGAGAGCUCCGAGUCAUAAACUAGUACCUAAAAACAAUAAACAAAAACAAAGUAAGAAUCUGGACACAAAUAAAACAAAUUGAAAUAAAACAAUCCAAGGGAUUAGCAACUUUGCUAAUCCCCGGCAACGGCGCCAAAAUUUGAUGUGAAAAUUAUGUUGACACACAAAUUAACCCUCUUUUUAUCGAUUGUAGUAAGUAUGUAAGUAGGGAUCGUUCUAGGCCGGGGAUUAGGAGGGAUUGCUAAAUCACUUGAAAACUGACUCAAAUACGUAAAAACAAGUUUAAAACACUAAACUAGACUCAAAGAAUGCAAAACUAAACUUUAAAACACCAAAACAAACAAAAAGACUCAAAACAGCAAACAAACACUCAAAACUGCCUUAAAACACUUUCUGGGUAGUUUCUGACACUCAGGAAGAAUUUGGACGAAAAUUGAUUAUAACUUGACUCAAGACACUUAAAAACACAAACUAAAUUGAUUUCUAACUAGUAUGACUCAACAAAGAAAAGGGGGAUUGAUUUUGGACGAAUUUAAAAACAAAACAAAACUUUGUAAACUAAAACAGAUUUUAAAACGAAUUUGGAUGAUUUGAAUGGAUGGAAGGCUAGCUAAGGGGUUCAUCUCCACACAUGUCACACUUGCAUAUAAAACGAUUUCCAAUUGCUUUUCAAUAAACCAUGAAUUCUCAACGCCCCAAGUUAAUUAGGUCCGCUUAAAUUAACCCUCAGAUUUUCCUUAAGUUAUUGAAUUGGAUGAAUUGCAUACGACAACCCAAAGCAUUCCCCACAAGUCCCCUACAUGACUGCAUAAUAGAGAUACAAGCAAGAAUCAUUAAGUUCUAUGAAAACCAUAAGCAUUGACGAAGCACUUGUUACUAUGAUUGCAUGAAACUUAUGCCAAGAAUUUACUUAACACGAUUGUGAUCAACAACCUUUACUACUUGUGAAUAUAAGUUCAUAACGAUUAGGUGAAAUUCCCUUAUAUCCUAGCAUCAAAUUCAUGCAUGCAAACUAAGUGUCGACCCUCAAUCAACAUACAAGAAUAAGUUUUAAUUCACAUAGAUAAGCAAAUUGAACUCACAACUUAUGAAACGCAAUUAGAAGUAAUCAAAUCAUAUAUAACAAGCAUUAAACAUGGUUUCAAAUCCCCCCCUAGCCAAGGGGGGUUUAGUUCCUCAUACUCGCAAAUAAACAAAGAUAAAUAAAUUUAAACAUUAAAACAAAGAUAGAAAACACCUAGAAACGCUCCACAAUCCAAGCUCCUUGAAUGGCAUGCACGGCUCCAAGUUGUCUUCCUUCUUCUCCUUGCAAACUCACGGCACACAAGGUAUGUUUGGGUGAAUGGUGUAGUGAAAAUAUGGUAGAGGAUGGUGACUAAAUGGUGCAGCAAAGGGUGGUAUUUAUAGGCUGAAAUUCGCAGCCCCUAUGUAGCAAAGGAAAAGGAUUUAAAAGCCUAAUUUGUAUAGGAUAAUAACACACAAUCCUUGAAGGAAAAGGCUAAGGCUUUUAGAAACCAAGGGGGAAAGGAAUAAUCAGGUUUCUAGGAGUCCUAGAAAGGUUUGGGGCGUCACUUUUGUAGGAGAAGGGAUAAGGCCUUCUAGAAAGGUUAUUUUGUGGCUGAUUUCUAGAAAAACAAGGGAUAAGGUGUGGCACCUUUGUAGGAAAGGAUUAGGUCUUCUAGAAAUCCCAUUUUAAGCAUCCUAAUCUAGUUAGAAACCCUCCUAAGUGGCUGGAAUGUGGAUAAUUUAGGAUUAGGAUAAGAUAAGAUAGGAUAAGGUUUGUUUGGAUAAG
rnacentral:lncRNA from 1 species